GAUAGCUAAUCCGUGGUAGGGAAGGAGGAGGGGGUUUCGGUAUUGGAGGGUGGGGUGGAUGGAUAUGGGUUGUUGGUAGGGGAGGAGGAGGAGGAGGAGGGUAAGGGUGGUUUUCGUGGUAGAGAGGUUAGCUGUUGAAGAGGAUUUCGGUAGUAGAGAGGUUAGCGAGGCUGUGAUGAGGGAAGGUGUUUUUGGUGGUCAAGAGAUGGCGGGAAUUAUGAUCUGAAUGUUUGUUUCAACUGAUUUGUUACUGUUACUCAACUAUUACUGAAGAUGGGAUUUGGGUUUAUUUAAUUUUGGUUCAAGUUUUGUGCGGUUGUGGAAUUUGAAUUUGACUAACUACUUGGCUAUAAUUGCUUAAAGGGGUUCUAGGGUUUUUAAUUACAUUUGUGGCCUUUGAUGUUUCUCACUAUGGUUUCCAUGGAUUCAUUACUUUACCCUUUGUUUUAAUGCUUGUUCUGUGUUUUUUUUUUUUUUUUUUUUUGGGGUGUCUCAUUCAUGGAAGAAAAUUGGGGCCUUUGACUAGGGAUCAGUUUCUAAAAUUUAGGGCUUUACCUUUCUAAAAUUCAGAACUUGUUUUCUGAAUUUGUUUUGAAAAAUUAGAAUAUAGUUUGGCAAAUGAAAAGAGAUUUUGUAAAGACCAAGGAAGAGCUUUGUAUUGAGUACAGGGAAGGAGGGAGGAACAAAGGGGGUGGUGGUGUUGUUGCUGGGUUCUGUAAAGACCAUACUGAGCUGUGGAAGAAGCAACAACAAACAGGGAAGUUCAAGAUUGUGGCUAGGGAUGAGCACAAGAAAUAGCAAGAUCGUGUGAGGUUCAAUGGUCUUCAUUAUUUUGUUGAUCUGUUGGUAGAAAUUUGGAAAUGGGGUUUAGAGAUGUUUCUUAUUCUAGUUUAGUUAUUUUGGUGUAGUUCUGUGUUAGGAUGAUUUUUAUGCAUGUGGUAAAAUAGAUAUUGAUUCAAUGUUGGUUAAUAUUUUGCAUUUUCUUCUUUGAAAUCUCAUUUUAUGUCGAAAUUGGUUAAGGAUUCUUUGUUUCACUAUUUUUUGUCCUAAAUCUAUCCCAACAUUAGAGUAAAAAAUAGAUCUUAUGCCAAGAUAUCAUGUCAUCAGUGACAUGUAGUAUUACUAACCAAUAAUAUAGGAUGAACCCCAUUCAUAGUAAACUCUUAUUGGUUAAGGAUUCCUUGCCACCAUGCGAGUUUGUUUUGUACUUGAAAAUUCUUCUCAAGAUUCAGCCAGGUGCCAUUAUGCCUCUAGUAAUAUAGGUGUUGGUUUUUUCGAUAUAAAUGUUAUAUUGUAAGUCCCUAUUAUUUCUUGUCUAGAAACUCUGAAUUUUACUUUCUUAAUUGUCAUCAGGUAGUGAAUAAUUUUACUUGAAGGCUGUCCAGUUUCUAGUUGAUUUCUAUAUGAAUUUUUUUAUAGCAUGAAAUUUGUUAAAUGAAUCCUGAUCUGUGAGUCAUGAAGUGAUGCCAUGAUUAUGAAAUUAUAUUGUGGAACUCUGAUAAAGCUCCUCGUUGAUAAAACCACUAAAGAACAUGUGUUCUGAGGUCUCUUAUUUCUAUUACCAAACAAUCUAACACAAUCUCCUUUUUCUUUUUGAUUUUUUAUGCGUAUUUGUUUUCCUAUAUGUUUUUGGUAAGAGCAAAUGGUGAGUCGGAGUUUUCUUUGAUCAUCGUCACACUCAGGACAACCAGUCAAUCACUCCGAUUGUCUUUCUGAAAAUCCAAGCAUUUUGAGAUGCAACCCUUUUGAUUACGUGAUGAUAUCUUCGCAUAUCGAUAUUGGAGCUUACUCGUGAU